rnacentral:rRNA from 1 species
UACCAGCACCCCGAGUGGUCGGGACGAUUAUUGAGCCUAAGCAUCCGUAGCCGGUUCUCUAAGUCCUCCGCUAAAUCCAUCUGCUUAACAGAUGGGCUGCGGAGGAUACUAUAGAGCUAGGAGGCGGGAGAGGCAAGCGGUACUCAGUGGGUAGGGGUAAAAUCCGUUGAUCCAUUGAGGACCACCAGUGGCGAAGGCGGCUUGCCAGAACGCGCUCGACGGUGAGGGAUGAAAGCUGGGGGAGCAAACCGGAUUAGAUACCCGGGUAGUCCCAGCUGUAAACGAUGCAGACUCGGUGAUGAAUAGGCUUAGUGCCUAUUCAGUGCCGCAGGGAAGCCGUUAAGUCUGCCGCCUGGGGAGUACGGUCGCAAGACUGAAACUUAAAGGAAUUGGCGGGGAGCACCACAAGGGGUGAAGCCUGCGGUUC